rnacentral:rRNA from 1 species
UAGUCCACGCUGUAAACGAUGAUCACUCGCUGCUGGCGAUAUACAGUUAGUGGCCAAGCGAAAGCAUUAAGUGAUCCACCUGGGGAGUACGCUCGCAAGAGUGAAACUCAAAGGGAAUUGACGGGGGCCCGCACAAGCGGUGGAGCAUGUGGUUUAAUUCGAUGAUACGCGAGGAACCUUACCUGGGCUUAAAUGUAAUUUGACAGAUUGGGAGACCAAUUUUUUCUUCGGACAAAUUACAAGGUGCUGCAUGGUUGUCGUCAGCUCGUGCCGUGAGGUGUCGGGUUAAGUCCCAUAACGAGCGCAACCCUUAUUUCCAGUUGCCAUCGAGUAAAGUCGGGGACUCUGGAGAAACUGCCCGCGCAAGCGGAGAGGAAGGUGGGGAUGACGUCAAAUCGAUCACGGCCCUUACGUCCAGGGCUACACACGUGCUACAAUGGUGUUGACAAAGGGCAGGCCACUUGGUGACAAGGAGCUAAUCCCGAAACAACAUCUCAGUUCGG